rnacentral:lncRNA from 1 species
AUUCUGAGCUCUUAAGCAUGCCAGGAGCAGAUGCCUGAUUUUACUGUGUGGCACUUUGUGGCCCAGAAACUUUCCAGAUUCUGUAUUUUCCUAUCUGGUUAAAUGUAACUGUAUUUACCUGUGUUUCAAAGCCUGAAUGCUUUAUUUAUUCUCUACUUAAUUUUCUUUUCCAGUUUUUCCUAACAAGCUUCCCUAGAUUUACUUGUUCUCACUUCCUAGACGCUAUUUGUAUUCUUCCUUCUUCUCUAGUUCAUUGGAAAUUUCUGCUUCUUUGAGACUGAGGUUAUAUUCCACUUCUUCUGACUACACCACCACCAUCAAUCUCCUUCUCUGAACUCUUGGAUCAUUACUUCAACCUGAAACAACUCAUCAGGCAGAAUAGUUGCCUACUGCCCCAACCCCACCAAAUGUUCCAGCACCUCUGAUAUUACCUCACAUGGCAAGAGGGCUUUGAAGAUGUGAUUGAGUCAAGGAUCUUGAAUGGGGAGAUUAUCCUGAAUUAUUCAGCUGGACCCAGUGUAAUCACAAAGGUUUUUCAAAGAUGGAAGAGAGGCAGAAGAGCCAGAAAAGGAUAUGUGACAAUGGAGUCAGUGUCAGAGUUGGAGUGACGUGAUGUGAGAAGGAUUCAACCUGCUGUUUCUGGCUUUGAGGAUGAAAGAAGGGGCCAUGAGCCAAGCAAUACAGGUGGCUUCUUUCAAGAAGUUGGAAAAGUGGUAAUAUUUUAUGUUAUUUUGGUUUGAUUUUUGUUUGUGGCAUAUGGCUCUGCUGUCCUGUGACUCUAAGUAGAAGAGAAAAUAGUGCCAAUAAUUCUUCAUGGAGAUGCACCUCUCUCAAGUCUUGAACAAUGUUUGAGGAAACAUUGCAGCGUUAUAAGAGAAAUUAUAGACUAUUUGUUGAAGCUCAGCAUGUCCAUCUCCCUGCUUUGAAGAAGGAUGUUGGGAACUGACUGUAAGGAAGACAGGAUUGGAGAACCAGGUUUAGAAGAGAAAAGGCAGUGCCAGAAGUUUUUGAUUGGAGAAAACUACAGGGUAAUGUUGCACAAGAACCAUUGCUGAUCUUGACAUCUAUGGUUCUUCAUUGUUCAGGACACAGCUGAAGUAUUACCUUUCCCAAGAGAUCUUACAUGACAAUAACCACCCCUGUCCUAUGUUUUGGUAUCAAGAUGAAGCUGACCUCAUAGAAUGAGUUGAAGAGUAGUCCCUCCUCCUCACUUUCUUGGAACAGUUUCUGUAGGAAUGGAACCAGCUCUUCUUUGUACAUCUGGUAGAAUUUGGCUGUGACUCCAUCAGGUCCUGGGCUUUUUUUUUGGUUGGUAGGCUAUUUAUUACUGAUUCAAUUUUGGAGCCCAUCAUUGGUCUGUUAAGGGAAUCAAUUUCUUCCUGGCUCAGUCUUGGGAGGGUGUGUGUGUCCAGGAAUUUAUCAGUCUCUUCUAGAUUUUCUAGUUUGUGUGCAUAGAGGUGUUUUUAGUAGUUUCUGAUGGUUGUCUUUAUAUCUGUUGGGUCAGUGGUACCAUUCCUUUCAUCAUUUUUAAUUGUGUUUAUUUGGAUCUUCUCUUUUGUCUUAUUAGCCUAGCUAGUGGCAUAUCUAUUUUAUUAAUUUUUUCAAAAAACCAAUUCCUGGAUUUGUUGAGAUCUCUACAAUAAGCAUUACAAAACACUGCUGAAAGAAAUCAGAGAAGACACAAACAAAUGAAAAAAACAUCUCUUGCUCAUGGAUAGGAAGAAACAAUAUUAUUAAAAUGGCUAUACUGCCCAAAGUAAUUUACAGAUUCAUUGUUAUUCCUAUCAAACUGCCAACAAUAUUCUUCAAAGAACUAGAAAAAACUAUUUUAAAAUUCAUAUGGAUCUAAAAAAGAGCCUUAAUAGCCAAGGCAAUCCUAAACAAAAAGAAAAAGCUGGA